GGCACGGACACCAACGGUGAGACAAAAACCAACCGACCCACCGACACCACGCCCGGCAGCCACCGCUGUGGUGCCGACUGGGAGAGGAGGACAAGCGCCAGGAGGGAGACGGGUAAAGCGGAAGCCCUACCCGUGUAUCCGGUCGGUCUAGGCGGUGUUGCAGAGCCGAAAAGGGAACAACCAAUCAGAGGACAACAAUGGUUCAGGAGCUACCCAAUCAGCAAGUGGAGGGGCGGUCCCCCUAAAACAACUCGUGACUGGGGUAGGGCGGGAGGUGAGGGAGGUGAGCUGCGCGGGCCCCGGGAGGCGGAAGUGCUGCCUGAUAGGGAGCGUCCUACCCACCCCGUCUGCUGGAGCUGGACUGACCAGGGACGGCCACCCCUGAGGGGACUCUAGUGCUGCACUGGGAGCACUUUUGCAGCCAUUACGUCUUUUCGGAGCUAGACAGAAGUUACUAAACCUGGAAAAUUCCUUAAGGAUCACUUGCUUCAAAGGGAGACACGGUGGCCCUGCUGUUCAAGGAGCGUCAGUGACCCAGAGAGUCAGUGACCAAGAGGAAACGCCUGUCUCCUGGGGACUUCCAAGAUACUAGCUACAGUCUCUUAUAUUUA
rnacentral:lncRNA from 1 species